rnacentral:tRNA from 1 species
GCGUGUGUAGCUCAGCUGGAUAGAGUACCUGGCUACGAACCAGGCGGUCGGAGGUUCGAAUCCUUCCGCACGCGCCA